UUUGAACGCUGGCGGCAGGCUUAACACAUGCAAGUCGAGCGGAGAUGAGGUGCUUGCACCUUAUCUUAGCGGCGGACGGGUGAGUAAUGCUUAGGAAUCUGCCUAUUAGUGGGGGACAACAUUCCGAAAGGAAUGCUAAUACCGCAUACGUCCUACGGGAGAAAGCAGGGGAUCUUCGGACCUUGCGCUAAUAGAUGAGCCUAAGUCGGAUUAGCUAGUUGGUGGGGUAAAGGCCUACCAAGGCGACGAUCUGGAGCGGGGCUGAGAGGAAGAUCCGCCACACUGGGACUGAGACACGGCCCAGACACCUACGGGAGGCAGCAGUGGGGAAUAUUGGACAAUGGGGGGAAGCCUGAUCCAGCCAUGCCGCGUGUGUGAAGAAGGCCUUAUGGUUGUAAAGCACUGUAAGCGAGGAGGAGGCUACUGUGACUAAUACUCUUGGAUAGUGGACGUUACUCGCAGAAUAAGCACCGGCUAACUCUGUGCCAGCCGCCGCCGUAA
rnacentral:rRNA from 1 species